AAUUAUCAACUGCUUUAUGUAUUUAAAGUGAAGUUGGAUUUGGAGUGUUUGCUGGUGUGUUAUUCAGCUCCUCUUAAAAGCAUUAAAGCGAUUUGUUAGGGAAAGUAAUCUUUGACGUGAUAACUAUCUACGUCGUAGAGAAAGCCCAUUUUGUUGACAUCGUUUUUACACUACUUUUGACCA
rnacentral:misc_RNA from 1 species